rnacentral:rRNA from 1 species
AUACGGAGGAUCCGAGCGUUAUCCGGAUUUAUUGGGUUUAAAGGGUGCGCAGGCGGCCAUUUAAGUCAGCGGUUAAAUCGUGGGGCUCAACCCCAUUCUGCCGUUGAUACUGGGUGGCUUGAUUGCGGUCGAGGUUGGCGGAAUUCGUUGUGUAGCGGUGAAAUGCAUAGGUAUGACGAAGAACACCGAUUGCGUAGGCAGCUGACCAGACCGCAAAUGACGCUCAUGCACGAAAGUGCGGGGAUCGAACAGGAUUAGAUACCCUGGUAGUCCGCACAGUAAACGAUGAAUACUUGUUUUCGGCGAUAUAAUGUCGGAGGCAAAGCGAAAGCGAUAAGUAUUCCACCUGGGGAGUACGCCGGCAACGGUGAAACUCAAAUGAAUUGGCGGGG